rnacentral:rRNA from 1 species
GAGCAGACCCGAAACCGGGUGAUCUAUCCAUGUCCAGGUUGAAGUUGCCGUAAAAGGCAAUGGAGGACCGAACCCACAUCCGUUGAAAAGGGUGGGGAUGAGGUGUGGAUAGGGGAGAAAUUACAAUCGAACCCGGAGAUAGCUGGUUCUCCUCGAAAUAGCUUUAGGGCUAGCCUCAUACAAGUCUUGCGGAGGUAGAGCACUGAAUUUCCUAGGGGGCGUCAAAGCUUACCGAAGAAUAUCAAACUCCGAAUGCCGCGUAGAUGGUGUAUGGGAGUCAGACUGUACGAGAUAAGUUGGACAGUCAAAAGGGAAAGAGCCCAGACCUGCAGCUAAGGCCCCAAAAUGUGUGUUAAGUGGAAAAGGAUGUGGGAUUUCAAAGACAACUAGGAUGUUGGCUUAGAAGCAGCCAUACAUUCAAAGAGUGCGUAAUAGCUCACUAGUCGAGAGGUCCUGCGCCGAAAAUGUCCGGGGCUGAAACACACUGCCGAAGCUCAGGAAUGUACCUAGUACAUUGGUAGAGGAGCAUUGUAUACGGGACGAAGCAGUACCGAUAAGGAGCUGUGGACUGUAUAGAAGAGAGAAUGCCGGAAUGAGUAGCGAGAGGAAGGUGAGAAUCCUUCCGGCCGAAUAUCUAAGGUUUCCAGAGUAAAGCUGAUCUGCUCUGGGUAAGUCGGGGCCUAAGGCCAGGUCGAAAGACGUAACCGAUGGACAACAGGUUGAAAUUCCUGUACCUUAAGUAAACAGAACUGUGGGGACACGUGUGGAGAGCACAAGCCGGAAAUGGAAAAGCCGGUGCAAGCGAGGUAGGAGUACAGUAGGCAAAUCCGCUGUACAAUCCGAAGACGUGAUGCGGACCGAAUUAAGAGUAGGGAAGUGUGUGAGCCAUGCGUCAAGAAAAGCCGCUAUUGUUUUACUUAAGCCCGUACCGUAAACCGACACAGGUGGAUGAGGAGAGAAUCCUAAGGCCGACGGGAGAAGCAUUGUUAAGGAACUCGGCAAAAUGACUCCGUAACUUCGGGAGAAGGAGUGCCAGCGAGAGCUGGCCGCAGAGAAUUGGCCCAAGCAACUGUUUAGCAAAAACACAGGUCUAUGCAAAACCGUAAGGUGAAGUAUAUGGGCUGACGCCUGCCCGGUGCUGGAAGGUUAAGAGGAGAGGUUAGCGGUAACGCGAAGCUUUGAAUUUAAGCCCCAGUAAACGGCGGCCGUAACUAUAACGGUCCUAAGGUAGCGAAAUUCCUUGUCGGGUAAGUUCCGACCCGCACGAAAGGCGUAAUGAUUUGGGCACUGUCUCAACAAUGCACCCGGUGAAAUUGAAAUACCAGUGA